AGACCUUCGGGUCUAGUGGCGCACGGGUGCGUAACGCGUGGGAAUCUGCCCUUGGGUGCGGAAUAACUUCCCGAAAGGGAUGCUAAUACCGCAUAAUGUCGCAAGACCAAAGAUUUAUCGCCCAAGGAUGAGCCCGCGUAGGAUUAGCUAGUUGGUGGGGUAAAAGCCUACCAAGGCGACGAUCCUUAGCUGGUCUGAGAGGAUGAUCAGCCACACUGGGACUGAGACACGGCCCAGACUCCUACGGGAGGCAGCAGUGGGGAAUAUUGGACAAUGGGCGAAAGCCUGAUCCAGCAAUGCCGCGUGAGUGAUGAAGGCCUUAGGGUUGUAAAGCUCUUUUACCCGGGAUGAUAAUGACAGUACCGGGAGAAUAAGCUCCGGCUAACUCCGUGCCAGCAGCCGCGGUAAUACGGAGGGAGCUAGCGUUGUUCGGAAUUACUGGGCGUAAAGCGCGCGUAGGCGGUUUUUUAAGUCAGAGGUGAAAGCCCGGGGCUCAACCCCGGAAUUGCCUUUGAAACUGGAAAACUUGAAUCUUGGAGAGGUCAGUGGAAUUCCGAGUGUAGAGGUGAAAUUCGUAGAUAUUCGGAAGAACACCAGUGGCGAAGGCGACUGACUGGACAAGUAUUGACGCUGAGGUGCGAAAGCG
rnacentral:rRNA from 1 species